rnacentral:rRNA from 1 species
GGGGGUAGAGCACUGUUUCGGCUAGGGGGUCAUCCCGACUUACCAACCCGAUGCAAACUACGAAUACCGAAGAAUGUUAUCACGGGAGACACACGGCGGGUGCUAACGUCCGUCGUGAAGAGGGAAACAACCCAGACCGCCAGCUAAGGUCCCAAAGUCAUGGUUAAGUGGGAAACGAUGUGGGAAGGCACAGACAGCCAGGAUGUUGGCUUAGAAGCAGCCAUCAUUUAAAGAAAGCGUAAUAGCUCACUGGUCGAGUCGGCCUGCGCGGAAGAUGUAACGGGGCUAAACCAUGCACCGAAGCUGCGGCAGCGACACUAUGUGUUGUUGGGUAGGGGAGCGUUCUGUAAGCCUGCGAAGGUGUGCUGUGAGGCAUGCUGGAGGUAUCAGAAGUGCGAAUGCUGACAUAAGUAACGAUAAAGCGGGUGAAAAGCCCGCUCGCCGGAAGACCAAGGGUUCCUGUCCAACGUUAAUCGGGGCAGGGUGAGUCGACCCCUAAGGCGAGGCCGAAAGGCGUAGUCGAUGGGAAACAGGUUAAUAUUCCUGUACUUGGUGUUACUGCGAAGGGGGGACGGAGAAGGCUAUGUUAGCCGGGCGACGGUUGUCCCG